GCCAUGGGGUAGGAGCCCGGAACUAUUCUCUGGGUUUUCAACAGCAAUCAUAAAAUAAAUAAUAACACUGUAUCAACAGUUGUAAAUGAAAGACUACUUUGAAGUAGAAUUUAAAGACCAGUCUACGCAUCCAGGUUCCUGAAGGGGUAUGUGUCACACAUCAUGGGAUUCUUUCCAAAGCAGUGAGUUAAGUGGAGGAAACUUUGAAAUCUUCUGUGCAUCCUUAUUUCCCUGAGAAAUGGCUAUCAUAAGCAAAGAGGAAUUCUUGCAGAGACACAGAAGGCACAUCUAUCUUGGGCAUGAUGUUUGUAAGCAAUAUCUCAGAAAAUUCAAGGCAAAUAAAUGUUCAUGAUAAGCAAUUGAUUAAACUUAACCGAAACAAUA